GCCAUGUGUGCUGGCCAACACCUGUAAUUCCAGCCAGGAGGGAUGCUGAGGCUGGUGCAUUGCUUGCACUUGGGAUUUCUAAGCUGCAGUGGGAUAAACCUGUCUGGUGUCUGAUUUAAGUUUGGCAUCAAUAUGAUGAUCCUCUGGGAGCUGUGGGCCACCAAGUUGAUGACAGAAGAGUGCACUGGCCCAGGUUAAAAACACAGCAGAUUAAACCUUCUGUGGGGAUCAGCAGUAAUAUCAGAUCUACGAGUAGCUUCUAAACUUCUAGUCUGGGUGAGAUAGGGAGAUUCAGUCUUUA
ensembl:misc_RNA Metazoa_SRP Metazoan signal recognition particle RNA